AACGAACGCUGGCGGCAUGCCUAACACAUGCAAGUCGAACGAGACCUUCGGGUCUAGUGGCGCACGGGUGCGUAACGCGUGGGAACCUGCCCUUAGGUUCGGCAUAACUCCCCGAAAGGGGUGCUAAUACCGGAUAAUGUCUUCGGACCAAAGAUUUAUCGCCUUUGGAUGGGCCCGCGUUGGAUUAGCUAGUUGGUAGGGUAAAAGCCUACCAAGGCGACGAUCCAUAGCUGGUCUGAGAGGAUGAUCAGCGACACUGGGACUGAGACACGGCCCAGACUCCUACGGGAGGGAGCAGUGGGGAAUAUUGGAAAAUGGGCGAAAGCAUGAUCCAGCAAGGCCGCGUGAGUGAUGAAGGCCUUAGGGUUGUAAAGCUCUUUUACCCGGGAUGAUAAUGACAGUACCGGGAGAAUAAGCUCCGGCUAACUACGUG
rnacentral:rRNA from 1 species